UCGCGUCUGCCAAUCUACUGAGCGACGCAAAUCUACGACUGCCAAAUGUGUAUCCUUUAGUUUCCAUCGAACAAAGAUUGAACGGUGAGGGAAGACCUAUUCGAGGUUCGCGAUUCACCAACGCCCGGGGUUCAGGAAUUAUAUCGUUUAACUUAUCUAAAUGCGCGCAGCGCCUGGGUUGAAGAGAGGUUGGGCUACCGCCUAGACGGUUUGCCUGAUGUCGGUGUACUUCAACGAACCGUCGACGACACCAGCGUUCAACCCUUUGCCUGUUUAGCAUUCCAUCUUCGAUUUGCUUUGCGGUUCCCACGGGGAAACCCGAACGGUGAAUUUUUACACGGGAAAAUCGAAGAGAAAAGGGGAGAAAAGGAAGAAAGAAACGGGAAUGCCGCGUGAACGGGAUUAGCGGCGAUUCCGGAGUCGAUAAAUCAUUACAGGCUCGCGGACGCACGACCAGAAGCGUAGAAGAGACGGAAGAAUUCCGAUAAUCGGAUGAACGUGACUGGAGCACUUGUUGAAUCGACCGAGAUAUAAAUUAAACGUUCGCAUUGGCAAACAAUUAUUUCGUCGUCCACGAUGUUUGCUCUUCUGUUUGGGGCAUCGCUUGAUAUAUCUAUUUUCGUGUAUUUUUUUCCUUAGAAAGAAGUUUGUAGGAUAU
rnacentral:misc_RNA from 1 species